GGAUCCCCCCCCCCUCGCCGGUUUGGGCCUCGUUCUCAGUGGCUGUAGCGGGCGGGCUGCGGUUGCUUCCUGCUGCCGGGGCGUCGGUAUCGAGAAGGUUCGCGGGUGUCGCCUGGGCCGCAGCCUCCGGGACAGGUGCUUCAACUUGAAUGAAUAUCGGUCCCAAGAUGGAAAGAUGACAUGGAGGUCUCCUUUCAUAUUCUGAAUAUCGAUGAUGAUUUUCAACAGUAAAUUGUUUUCUUCCCUGCAUUUGUUUGCUGACGUCAUGUGUCCCAUAUAUCUGUUCUUGAUAAGCCCUGUCUGCCUAACUGGUGUCUGCACUUUCAAUAGCAAAUGACCUUUGACUAUUAAUAGUGUGAAGGUGGAGAAACAAUUAUUUCUGCCUAACUGGGAUGUUCUAUCAUGCUAGCAUUUGUAGAGAGCAUGGAGUUUUUUUUCAGAUGUAUCGAAAUUUUAUUUGGAAAGUUAGUAUUUGGAGACAUUCAGAGUGAAAGAAACAAGUUGAACAGAUUCUGUCCCCAAAAAGCAAGUAAACAAAAAUGCCGGGGAUCAAAUUUAGUUGACAGAGUUGAGAUGAAAUGAGCAUGUGCGUUACGUUUCUUUUUGGUUAAAAUACUUCAGUGGAUACUGACUCAUUUGUAACUUGG
rnacentral:lncRNA from 1 species